UCUAUUCCAGGAGAACUUACUCAAGCUCUGUUCCUUCUAUGCUGGAAGUGAUGAAAUGUAACCAGCCUGCCACUAGAUCAAGAAUUGAAAGAUCAAGCAGCACAGUUCAAAAGU
rnacentral:lncRNA from 1 species